rnacentral:tRNA from 1 species
GAGCCAUUAGCUCAGUCGGUAGAGCAUCUGACUUUUAAUCAGAGGGUCGAAGAGUCCUGUCCUUCAUGGCUCA